UAAGGAAUAUUGCUCAAUGGGAGAAAUCCUGAAGCAGCAACGCCGCGUGGAGGAUGAAGGGUCUAUGACUUGUAAACUCCUGUAAAGAAGGAAAAAAUUCCCAUUAGAUGGGAGAUGAUGGUACUUCUGGAGUAAGCCCCGGCUAACUACGUGCCAGCAGCCGCGGUAAUACGUAGGGGGCAGGCGUUGUCCGGAUUUACUGGGUGUAAAGGGUGAUCAGGCGGAUUUGUAAGUCAGAGGUGAAAUCUUACAGCUUAACUGUGAAACUGCCUUUGAUACUGCAAGCCUAGAGUAUGGAAGAGAGUGAUGGAAUAUCUGGUGUAGCAGUGAAAUGCGUAGAUAUCAGAUAGAACACCAAUGGCGAAGGCAGUCACUUGGUCCAUUACUGACGCUAAAGCACGAAAGCGUGGGUAGCAAACA
rnacentral:rRNA from 1 species